GACGAACGCUGGCGGCGUGCUUAACACAUGCAAGUCGAACGCUGAAGCCCAGCUUGCUGGGUGGAUGAGUGGCGAACGGGUGAGUAACACGUGAGUAACCUGCCCCCUUCUUUGGGAUAACGCCCGGAAACGGGUGCUAAUACUGGAUAUUCACUGGCCUUCGCAUGGGGGUUGGUGGAAAGGUUUUUUCUGGUGGGGGAUGGGCUCGCGGCCUAUCAGCUUGUUGGUGGGGUGAUGGCCUACCAAGGCUUUGACGGGUAGCCGGCCUGAGAGGGUGACCGGUCACAUUGGGACUGAGAUACGGCCCAGACUCCUACGGGAGGCAGCAGUGGGGAAUAUUGCACAAUGGGCGAAAGCCUGAUGCAGCGACGCCGCGUGAGGGGAUGACGGGCCUUUCGGGGUUGUAAACCUCUUUCGCUUCAAUGGUC
rnacentral:rRNA from 1 species